rnacentral:rRNA from 1 species
CCCUCUGGGGUGCAGCAGGCUUUGGAGAAGCGCUCGCUCCGCACGGAAGUGUCCGAACUCCGUCGUCAGGUCGGCGCCCAACGCGAGGCGCCGUUGCUCAUCGGAAACAGCCCCGGGAUGGAGGCGCUCAAGCGCACCAUCGAACAGGUGGCCCCGAGCGACUGCAACGUGCUCAUCCUUGGCGAGACGGGGACGGGAAAGGAACUGGUGGCGAAGACCGUCCACAAGUUCAGUCUGAGGGCCGAAAAACGCUUUAUGGCGAUCAAUUGCGGGGCAUUCAACGAGGAGCUGCUCUCGAACGAGCUUUUCGGACACGAGAAAGAAGCUUUCACGGGUGCGCGCGGAGUGAAGCGCGGCGUCUUCGAGGUGGCGGCGGGGGGGC